AGAAGAGAGUAACGAAAACCUAGAGUACUAUUCACCUUCAUCUUGUUUUGCUUGUAACUUUUGAUCCGGAGCUCCGAUUGACGAGCCGUUUGCAGCCACGCGUAGCUCUCCUUAUCCUCUUCAAUUAUAUCUAAUAUUUGUGGGAUGCUCUAGCAUGAAUUUCUAGUGGGUUCCAUCUAUAUUUCAUGUGGGUUAAGAGAAUUGUUGGGGCUGAAUUUGAUAUGAAGUAGAAUUUGAUUGGCAAAUUUGGGUGGUGGACCUUGGAGAUUGAGCUAGGCAAGGCUUCAAGGGUUGG